CAAUAGCGUAUAUUUAAGUUGCUGCAGUUAGAAAGCUCGUAGUUGGAUUUCGGGUGGGAAUGGCCGGUCCGCCGUUUCGGUGUGCACUUGCUACGCCCACCUUGCUGCCGGGGACGUGCUCUUGAGUUCACGCUCGGGACACGGAGUCGGCGAGGUUACUUUGAGUAAAUUAGAGUGUUCAAAGCAGGCCUACGCUCUGAAUACAUUAGCAUGGAAUAACACGAUAGGACUCUGGCCUAUCUUGUUGGUCUGUAGGACCGGAGUAAUGAUUAAGAGGGACAGUCGGGGGCAUUCGUAUUUCAUUGUCAGAGGUGAAAUUCUUGGAUUUAUGAAAGACGAACUACUGCGAAAGCAUUUGCCAAGGAUGUUUUCAUUGA
rnacentral:rRNA from 1 species